rnacentral:rRNA from 1 species
CCUACGGGAGGCAGCAGUGAGGAAUAUUGGUCAAUGGGCGCAAGCCUGAACCAGCCAAGUCGCGUGAGGGAUGACGGUCCUAUGGAUUGUAAACCUCUUUUGUCGGGGAGCAAGGCCCGCCACGUGUGGCGGGUAGGAGAGUACCCGAAGAAAAAGCAUCGGCUAACUCCGUGCCAGCAGCCGCGGUAAUAGGGAGGAUGCGAGCGUUACCCGGAUUUUUUGGUUUGAAAGGGUGGGUAGGCGGAAGGUUAAGUCAGCGGUCAAAUGUCGGUGGUCAACACCGGCCUGCCGUUGAAACUGGUCUUCUUGAGUGAGCGGGAAGUAUGCGGAAUGCGUGGUGUAGCGGUGAAAUGCAUAGAUAUCACGCAGAACUCCGAUUGCGAAGGCAGCAUGCCGGCGCUCAACUGACGCUGAGGCACGAAAGCGUGGGGAUCGAACAGGAUUAGAUACCCUGGUAGUC